GCGAGUGAUGCGCCCUCUGCAGGGAUCCCUCCGCCGCCGCUUGGAAUUUUCCAGACUCUGCCGGCCCUUCUUUCGGAGUUCUGCAGGGGUGGGGUAACCUGAGGCGUCCCCUGCGGUUCCCCUCACCCCCUUGGGAUAGAGGCCUGAGCCUGCCUCGCCCACCCAGUUCCCUCUCGGGGAUCCGGUUCCCCAACAGAAGGAAAGGGGACUUCUCCCACGUGGAAUCUGCUCUCCAAACGUGACUUUGAGAUCUGUCCUCCAUAUCAGGCAGCGCUGCUAAGGGGGAAGGGAGGACUGCUGGGGAAUUGGGUGGGGUGGACAUUCCGGAACCCAGAACCGCCCCAAGACACCGCGUAGGGCAGGGUCGGGGAGGAACUUAUUUCCGAUGGCAGUGGAGGAAUCGUCCCGCUGAGUAAGGUCACGGGUGAUGCGGCCAGGGCUAUAAAAGCAAAAAAAUUUGUGGCCUGUCUUUCAGGAGUUAGCCACAGGGAGGGCUGCGCUCUAUCUUGUUUGGGGGAGGAAGUGGCCAGAUUAGGGCCUCAAGCCUCAGCUGAGGGUGAUGGCAGGGUUAGAUGAGACUGACGGAGUUGGGGGUACGAGGAGAGGGAAGGCCAAAGAGGAGACUAGGUUUGGGGACGACUGCUGGGGAAAGCUGCGUGGCAGUGUCCCCAGGAACGCAGGGGGAGGACUACAAGGCCAGGCUGCCCGCCGGAGAAGGGGGACUUGAGCUCAGGGAGGGUGCCACUCCUACAUUGGCCCAGUGGAUCCGCAGCACCCUGCUUUGUAUGGAGGCAGAAAGGCAGAGCUUUAGAAGGGGUGGAGGAGAGAGGGGUCUCUGCUGGAGAAGACGUGGAAGUCGGCAGCUGAUGUCCUGGAGAUGGAUCAGGGAGGAAGGCCGUGGGUGCAGGGCCGCAGGUGGGCUGCGGACUGAUCCUGAAGUUGUCAAUACCAGCAGUCCCCGUUUUUUUCUAGACAAAGGGUUGUGAACCCACCUGGGGAUGAGGCCUGGUCUUGUGGAAACUGAACUUAGCUUCGCGGGGCUGACAGCUCUGGCCCAGGGUGGUAUGUAAUUUUGGUUCGCCUGGGACCGGUCCAGGCCAGGCCCAGCAUGGUGGAUCCCAGGUGUGUGUGGGGCCAGACCCCUGGUCAGAGGAGAGGGUGGUCUCCGGAAUAAAUCAGGAGGUAAGGUGCCACCCUAAGCGCUUACUGCUGUGGCACCUAGUGUGUCUUGGCAGGGGGGCUGCCGAGGCAGGAUGUGUGCCUGCGGAGGAAAUUGACCCACCCUUUAUUUUCCAGGUGGCAGUGCUUCCCUUUGGACUUCUCUAGGUUCCGUGCUAACUUCUGUGACCUCACUCUGCCCCUCCUACCUUUACCUCUCAAGGUUAACCGUUCACUUAAAACAUUGCUUCUGGUAAUCUGGUAAGCUUGGGAAAAUUGCUCCGUCCCUGUUGGAGCCGGUAUUGCUGGUAAUGGAGGAGGAUAGGCACUCCCCACUGAGACGCGGUGGGGCGGGUUGGUUUGCCUGCCUGUGGAGGUGGGAUUGAACGUGCACGCUUGGGUGGGCCCGCAGCGAUGGCACCAGCCGUAUUACUGAAAUGCUUCGUGGAACGCGGUUUGUUACUGUAGCGUUCAUCAUGGCGAUCAGAUGGCACCAGGAGAAAUGGAGCGCUUGGCCAGUGAGUCGUAGCAGUGCAGGAGGGGAGACCCUGAAGGAGAGAGGCCGCCUAAAUUGAUGUCUGCAGAUUGAAUUUCCAGAGGCUUAGGAGGUGGAAAUUCUCCAAUGUCAUGUUUCCAGGCCGUGCUCAGGAAGCCCUGUAUUCAGGAGGCCACCACCUAAGGUUUUCAGAUGAGCUUAUGAGAGGGCGGUCUCUAAAAGUCCAAGCAGCUGCGUCCCGGGCCUUCAGCAGGUGUGCUGCUUUGAAUGCUACGUGAGCGCCAACCUCCAGGCACCCCUCCUUUUCUAGGAUGGAGGUUUUCAGAUGCUGCAUCUUCUGUGUUGAGCCUCCUGUCAUAUUAGUUCUGUGCUACGAACCUUGCUUCGAGAAGAUUCUUAAGCUGUAGAACAUUUUAACGUUGGUGCCACAACGCAGAGUGAUGCCUUGUAGAUGGAGCUUGCAGAUGGAGCCCAGUGACCCACUCACCUGCCCGCCUGCCUGCCUGUGUAUUGGCCAGAGGAAUUAUUAGUGUGAUGCUGUAACCUGUGUGUUGGAAAAGUGUUCCAGCUUGAAAUGCCUUCAGCAAAUACUUACACGAGCAGACUGGCAAAUUAGUUGGGUGUUGGGGGGUCAUUGUGUUCUGUGGUCUGGGAGGGUACAGGUUGAUCAUGCCCAGAUUCUUUUAGACAUGGCAAGUCUAGUUUGGGCAUUCCGAUUGCGUUGCAGAUAACAAGGGAACGGUGGGGGUACUGGUAUUAAUCUGUGAUUCAUUUUUUACUUUGUUUUUUUAAGUUGAAAUUUGAAAGGAAUCUUGGUGUUAAUGGGAGGAGCCUGGGGUUAGGGCACUGGCAUGGAGUGGGGGGAAGGUGGAGACCAGGGGGAGGGUUGGUUGGGUGUGUGUUGCAGAGGGUGGGGCGUGGUCAGAGGUUGUGGGUUUGAAGGGAAUUCUUGGUGAAAAAGACCAGUAUAGUAGAGCUCUGGGGAAUGUUGUAGACUCAUGGGUGAAUAAUAUCACUAGUUAGUACCUAGUGAUACUGUAACGCUGGUUAUGUUGUCAUUGGAAGCACAAAAGCUGCUUGGAAACUUUCUAAUAGUGCUUAGACCUCUAAAGUGAAGGGGACAAAGCAAAACUUUUGCUUUGUUGCAAGGUGGGGAAACUGAAAAGGUGUUAACUGAAAACCUGAGUAUCAGUCACUUGAAAGUUGGCUGUCAGAAACUUCCAUCAGCAGAUAACAUCCUUCACUGCUUUGCAAACUUCUUAGAUGGUUCAUCUGAAGCUGUGAAGGCAUGCAAUAUUCAGGAGCAGUAAGUCUUAGAAGACUAAAUGCCCAAAUUGUGGGCUUUUAUUAAAAGUAUGUAAGAUGAGAUGGUGUGCACUUGAGAUGUACUCUUAAUGGGUUUGGAACAUUUGUUUGCAGAGAUUUUGUGACUGAGAAUUCUGAGCAAAGUGAAAAUGCAAUGAUUUCUAAAGGAAUUUUUUUAUGUUACUUCAUGCCAUGCCACUGUGGUCAUUAACAGCAAAAGCUUUUACUUACUUUUUUCAGUCUUUGUAACAAUGGAAUGACCUUUUGUGGUCACUGUAAAAUUAAUACCUGGUAGCAAACAGUCCAUGUACCCUUGCUUAAGGUUGGAGUUAAUAUGUUACAUCUUUAGUUUUAAUGUUUGUGCUUUUAAUGACCCAGUACUAGGGGGUAACCCCGCCAAAAUCAAUUUCAGGAACGAGCAAAACGGGUGACUGGUUGGGAGGGAACUUUACCACAUGUGGUCUGUUUGUAAAAAUUCGGAGAAAAUUGUCCUUUAUGACCCUACUUGUGCAUCUGUUGAAUUGCUAGAUCAAGUAAUACCAAUAGCUUUAUUACAUGCUGCUCCCCUUACAUUUCAUUUAAAAAAUUUAAAUCCCUAAUACGCCCUGCUCUUAGGGUUUUUCUGGAUUCUUUUUUCAUGUUUAAAAAUGUUGGCAAGAUAGUUCAGUUAAUGACCAGCUGCGUGUGGUAUAGUUACUGUCAUUAAUUUAAAGAACAUCAGUCUUACCUGUUAUGGGGAAAUACGUUCUGGGUAUGCUGUUUGAGAAAUUGCAACUGUAAAAGGAGGUAAAGUGCUUGUAUGUUGCUCUGUAUGGUAAAUGAUCCGGUUAAGUCAUGUACAUGAUUACUAAUCAGUUUUUCUUCCCCUUUACAGCACAAAUAAAGGUUUGAGUUCUAAACUCAUUAGAAUUGUAUUGCUAUGUUACGCUUUUUUACUUUUUGUAAAUCCGGUUACCCCCAUAAUGAGGGUUGGAUGUAUCUUCAUAUCAUAGAUUUAUGUAUAGUUUCACUUUUCAGAAGCUCCAAAUGAUGGAGGUCAUUCAGGGAAGCAUGGGAAUCUCAAAUGGGACUGGUGGGUCCUGAAUGGGCUGCAGCCUGGUCGGUGGGGAGGAGGCUCCGCUCACUGUUCCAAGUGUGUGAUGGGUGAGGCCAAACCACCCAGCCUGUGGAGGACGCUGAAGGUCAGGGAGUACUUUGUAAUAUCCUGGAACUUCACCUAGGUAGAUUGCCAAAUGGUAUUGUCAAAAAGGAGACCCAUUUUUGUUUGCUUAGGGUAAACAGUCUAAAUAAAAUGUGUCAUUUUGUCUUUGGGAGCUGGAGUGUCUCUGGGAUUUGGGUCUGAGCACAGUUCUCACAGAGGGGCUUUGGCUUAAAUGUUUUUCUUGUGAGGGACAAAUUUGGCCAUUUACAUCAUACAGCGAAGUGCUGUGCUAAGCAGGCCAAGGCUCUGUAGGGCGGGAGGAGGAGCGCUGGGAGUGCGGAAUGUGCGCUCCAAACUGGGUCUGCGUCCUGGGUGGGCAAGUGGCAGCAGCUUUUCACCCUGGUUGCUAAUUAUUGUAUUGCUGUGGCGCAUUUACUCUUGGCCCCUAAGGUUUUGCCUCACGGGAGAUAAACUUUGGAGUCAGAAUAGAAACCACUGCCAGCCUCUGCCAAGGCCUCUGGUCAAAGGCUGUGGUAAGAGGAGCUUACCCGGGAAGGGAGGGUAACAGGUGGCAUAGGCGAGAGCCGUGAGGGUGGGAGAGCAGCCCGGAGAGUCCCAAGAGCAGUGGGGAGGGCCCUCCCGGCUGCCCUCCUCGGUCUGGUCCGGUUUGCCUUGUGGGUCCUUGUGAACUCUUCUUGGGUUUGCUACUGAGAAACAAGUUAGCUACGGGGAAGAGGGAGGCUCUGAGCCGGCCAGCAAGCUGCCUGUCCAGGGUGCAUGGCUCUGCCAAGAGUGGGCACCACUGUGUGCAGGCAUGAGGAUCCUUCCUGCACGCUACCCUGUUCCUUGAUCCCCCAGAACAACCCAGGUCUCCUUUCCUAACUUACCCUUUUUCUGUGCUUUUUAUUUUUUACCCCAGCCCCUGUCUGCCCUCCCCUCUCUUCAGAAUUCAUUUUUCUGUUUUUUUUAUACCGUUAUUAUAAAACUUGAUUACAUCCUUGAGGUAACUGCUAUAAAUGCCUCUGUGUAAAUGGUAUUGUUUCCUAGCAACUGUAGCAAACUGAUAAUUUUUCCACAGUGGUAUAAAUGUUCAACAUUGGAAGGGAUGGAGUGGGUUUUGUUGAUACAGAGCCUGAGAGCAGGUCCUAAAAGCUGCACUCACGGCCCCCUGGCCUCCACCCAAUCUAAGGCUCCUGAGGUCCUUUGGACUCCGGAGCUUUACCUGUUCUUUAUCCUCAGGUCGGGUGGGAUGUGUGGCAGGUGUUGACCGCGGUGCUGAUCCUUCGUUGCUCAUCAGUUUGCAUCCUCAUGCAUACAUGUGAAUUCAACCUUCCUCUGAAUUCCAAGUGGCAGUGGGUGAUGCAGGGAAACUCAUGGAGUGGGCUUGAAGCAAUUAGGUAGAGAAUGGUGAUCUGGAGCAAAUGAAAAGUAAUGCUGCACCCUGUCCACCGCCCUUGGUUUCUCUACUGACCAUGGACAUACGGGACUUCUAGGAACUUUUAUGCCCAGCUGCCCUCUCUGUGUGUACUUAAGUUCUGGAGGAAUCUGACCUUGGGCAGUACUAGUUAUCAAAGGAAAUACCAAAAAGAUUUAAAGAUAUUUGUGACGUGUUUUAAAUGUUCAUAUUUAACACACAAAAAAUACUGAUGCAGACUGGAAAUGGCAGGAGGAAGAUAGCAAAAUAACCAAAAAUGACAAAGAUGUGACAACGUGCAUCCCUGGGAGGGUGGCCUUGGCCUCACUGAGGGUGGGGGUGUCUCCACUACCUCUGGCCUGCUGGGUGGGACUGUGCCUGCUGCCCGCUGGCCACCCCACUCUCCAGGCACCUCAGCUGUGCACCGCCUUUGGUCCCUUUCUUUUAAAUAGCUCUUAAUGGAGUUCUCAUGUGGAAAAAAGGGUUUAUUGUAAGAUUUACAAAUAAGAAAAUGGAAAAAACAAUCGUGCAUUCAUUGUUAUUGGCAUACUUGCUUCUACAGUUUCCUCUAUGAACAGGAAAAUAUGUUUUUUUUUAACAAAUGGGAUUAUAUUAUAAAAUGUUUUGCAUCUCUUUUCACUUCCUAUAUAGUGAACAUCUUUUCCUGUCAUUUGAAGCAUCUUUUGUAGUGGCGACCAUGUUCUGUUGUAUGGCUGUAUCAGUUCAAACAAUCUCAUUUAGAAGACAUUAUUUUCCAGUUGUAUUUUUCUCUUAAGAAGUAAUGCUGUGAUGACCUUCUCAGACUUUAUCACAUCUGAUAUUAUUUAUGAUACAUGAAUACACUCCUACACAUGAAAUGCCUGUGUCAAACUUCUUUAGACUCAGGUUGGUAAUGCCAUAUUGUCUUCUGGGGAGAUGCAGGCUACUGUGGGUGUGAGCGCUACUUUGCUGCUAGUAAGAGACUGAACGUCUAUGUGUUUAUUGGCCAUUUGCGGUUUGUGUGUGUGUGAGUGCAUGCAUGUGUGACUUUGCACUUCUUAAUUGCUCAUUUUUCUGUUGGUGGUUUUUUAAGAGCACUUACAUAUUAAGGAUAUUAAUCCUUUAUAUUUGAUGCAAGUAUUUUUUUCCACUUUAUAGAUCACCUUUCAUUUUGUUUGUUGGUUUUCAACCAAAAGUUACUUGGUUUUUCUGAGGUUGCAACUAUGGCUUUUCUGUAUGUGGUGUUUCACUUUAGAUCUCUCCAGCCCAAAAGUAUAUAUUAUUCUAUAUUUUCUUAUGGCACUUAUAUGGUUACAUUUUUUACACUUAAACCUGUAAUCCACCUGGACUUCACUUCAGUCUCUGGGUGGGUGCUCACGCCUUCAGAACCCCCAGGGCUUGCUCCUUCCUGGUGACUGCCUCCUUGUGGCCGGAUGAUGGAGUGGCAGAGAGCCAUGAGGGCUGUCACAACGGGACAGGUCAUUGAAGAAUUGAAGAUCUGGAGAUAGGCAGGUAUUGUCUUCUAAUAGGGUUGGGUUUUGCUCUUCCAUGACUCCCCAUUCCCCCAUCCUAACUGUUUUGACCUAUGGCAACCCCAGCACGUUGGGGGGAUCAAAAGCUUGUGCAGAAGGAUGCAUCUGGGUUCUACUCCUGACUUGGGCAGUUGGCAGCUUUAUGGCUGGGAGCAAGUUAUAUGACCUUGCCAAACCUCAUCUGUGAAAUAUGGGUAAAUGUAUUUGACACCCAGGUGCUCUUCACUGUGUAUUUACGAUGAUUCCUUCCUCUCCUUCAUUGUCCAGCCUCAGAUCUAGCCACUUUCUCCGGGUUCCUCCUCUCCUCCCUCUGUAUGCCCGCCAGCCUUGCUCUGGGCCCUGUAUAUAGUGAUAAUCAGUGUGUCUAUUCUGGUUUUACAUUUAAUUUUGUUUCCAUUCGCAUUCCCCUAUAUCAGCAGAGUCCACAAACACACUGGGAGUGGCUUUUUCUCAGGGUUGUAGUUCUCCCUCAGGAAUUCCAUGGAUGGCCUUCCAGAGGUGAGUGCUCCAAACUUAUGUAUAUUUUUCUGUGGAGAGAAUUAAGUUUGUUGAAGGGUCCAUGACCUAAAAAAAAAAUAUCAUGAAUGAAUGACUGUGUUAUUUAUCCCACGGGCUGCUUGCUUAGGCUCCUAAGUUGUGAACAGUGUUCCACUUUAGGUUGUGCUGCUGUGUGCAGCUCUGUGAACCUGGGGUACAUGUCUGUUUCCCAGAGUGGCAGUGCCCAGUCAGUUGGUUUUGUAACUCCUGUCACAGACUCAGAAACUCUCCAGAAAGCUUGCACUUCCUCUUGUGAAUAUAUCCAUUUCCCUACAUCAUUACUGAUAUCAGGCUUUUUCAAUUUUAUUUACUCUUCAGAACUUUUUGAAAAAUUUGUGGUAAAAUACACAAAAUUUGCCACCUUUACCGUUUUUAAAUGUACAAAUUAGCAGUGUUAAGUAUAUUCACAUUGUUGUGCAACCAAUCUCUAGAACUUUUUCAUCUUGCAAAACUGAAACUCUAUGCUCAUUAAACUCUCCAUUCCUUCUGCCCUCCCCUCCCCUAGCCCCUGGCAAUAGCCUUUUUACUUCGUCUCUAUGAGUUGACCACUCUAGCUACCUCACACAUACUGAGUGGAAUCAUACAGUAUUUGUCUUUUUGUGACUGGCUUAUUUUACUUAGCAUAAUGUCCUCAAGGUUCCUGUAUGUUACAGCAUGCAUCAAAAUUUUCUUCCUUUUUAAAAGAGCUGCAUAAUACUCCAUUGUAUGUAUAUACCGUAUUUCGUUUGUUCAUCCGUCGAUGAAUGCUUGCAUUGCUCCCGCCUGUUGGUUAUUAUGAAAAUACUGCUGUGCACAUGAGUGUAUGAAUCCCUCUUUGAGACCCUGCUUUCAGUUCUCCUGGCUGUGUAUACAGAAGUGGUAUUGCUGGAUCAUAUGCUAUUUCUAUUUUUAAUUUUGGGAGAAUGCCAUACUGUUUUCCAGAGCAGCUGCACCAUUACAUUCAAGGAUUGCAAGGAUUCCAAUUUUCCACAUCUUUACCAACACUUGUGAUUUUCUGUUAUUUUGAGUAGCCACCCUCAAGGGUGUGAGGUGAUUUUGUUGUGGUUUUGGUUUGCAUUUCUUUGGUAAUUAGUGAUGUUGAGCAUCUUUUCAUGUGCUAUUGGCCAUUUGUAUAUCUUCUUUGAAGAAAUGUUUUCUCAAGUCCUUUGCCCAUAUUUUAAACUGGGCUAUUUUGUCUUUUGUUGUUGAUUUGUAAGGCUUCUUAAUAUAGUCUGGGUAUCAAUCCUUUAUCAGAUAUAUGAUUUACCAAUGUUUUCUCCCAUUUUGUCGUAUGGUGCCUUUUCACUCAAUUGAUUGUGUCCUUUGAUGCCCAGAAGUUUUAAAUUUUCAAGUAAUACAGUUUACCUAUUUUUACUUUUGUUGCCUGUGCUUUUGGUGCCCACAGCCAAAAAAUCAUUGCCAAAUCCAAUGUUAUGAAAUAUGUUUAGAAGUCUUAAUUUCUGUGUCUGUAAUUAUUAGCUUCUGGCUGUUGUACUACUUGAUUGACCAUCUGUACUUUUCCUCUUUGGCCACUUACCAUAUGAAAUUUCCAUAUUGAUUUGCAUAAUGAUCAUAAAUUCUCUGUAGAGUUGAGAAGGUAAGUUUUUGUCAGUUAUGAUUGUCUAACUUAUUCUCAUUUUCCUUUUAAUUGUUGGCAGAAAAAGUAUCCCCAAGGACUUCUAAGAGAUUAGUCCAACAAUCUAAUAAUAACUAAUAAGUCUGUUGGUUUUGCUUCUCAUUACUUUUUCUUUAGUAGCUAAGCAUGCAUGUACUCACACAGUUUUCACCACUUAAGGGGUUAUGAAUCCAGCCUAGGAGUGGAUCUAAGUUAACUGUUUACACUGAGAAAGCUGAAACAUCAAACUUCUAUUAAGUAAAUGCUGUCUUUGCUCUUUUGCUCCACAACUGUUGAUAUUAGCUUAUUAUCUACCUGAAUCUGCUUCUGGAAUUUUUAGCCUCUGGGUAUUGUUGUUUCUGAUCAAAUACAUCAAAUUUUAAUGAAUAUUACUGUUUAUUAUGUUUUAAAAUCUAGUAAGUAGAGGCUAUGAUACUCUGUAAAGCAAAAAUAUUCCCUCCUCUUUGGAACCUCCUCAGAGCUGGGGUGAUAUUUGGGUCAGGACAUUUUCUUUUACUUUCUUCCUUGAUGUCUCUAAUAAUGUGGCAAACAUUUCUGAAUCUUCUAUUUAUUAUGAAAACUGGGGCUUUAGACAGGCACUUCCUUUACCUACAUGGUCGUCUCACCCUCCCAUCCCCCUGCCUACCUGUGUCCAAGGUAAUUAUCAUCCUGAAAACUAAGUUUAUAUUAUUUUCAAAAAACCUUACCUAAAUGUGUUUUCAAAGUAUAUAUUUUCAUUUCAGUUGUUUUUAACCUUUAUGGAAAAGGCAUUAUAGUGGUGGUUGUUGUUUCCCAACAAAAGCAGAUUUGGUUUAUUGAAUGGUUUCGUUAAAUGAGUCUAUGAAGGCAACAAACUGAAGCACAAGCGCCAUCUCACAAGAGGCACAACACCCAGAGUUAGUGCUAAAUGUACACUUAAGGGCUGCUGGGAAGCCACCAUGGUUUGAAUUCAGUUUGUUUUUUUAAACAGCAAACGUUGUUAAACAGUGUAAGGAAACCAUAAUUCAGAAAGUUUUUAAUGUGGAAAAAGAUACUCAACAUGUACUGUUAAUGCAAAAAUAAUUUAAACAGUUCAGUAGCACUAGUUCAAUUCUCUAAGCUUCAGUUAUUUCAUCCACAGGAGGGAAAAAAAUGAAUAGUAAAUAAAACUACUUCUCUUCUUACUCUUCAUGGGUGAGUUAAAAGAUCUCAAAUUAUUAAACCAAAAUAACCAAACAAUAAUGUGCUGCAUUCGGUUCCCUCAUUUCUCUGGCAGGAAGUGUCAUUUCAUCUGUCUUAGGUGGCCUGUGUCUCAUUUACUUGGCACCUUCUUUGUUCUACCCUCACUCUGACCAUUUACCCAAGAAUUAUAAGCAGAGAAUAAAUAAGUAAACAGUUUUGAAGCAGGGCUUGGAACCCCUGCUCUUUCCAUUUCUACCUUCUAAAGCCUUCAGAAAAGCCCUUAUGUUUUUUUGGGGGUUUUUUUUGGUAUCAUUAAUCUACAAUUACAUGAGCAACAUUAUGUUUACUAGGCUCCCCCCAUCACAAAGUCCCCCCCCCCAUUACAGUCACUGUCCAUCAGCCUAGUAAGAUGCUGUAGAGUCACUACUUGUCUUCUCUGUGUUGCACAUCCCUCCCCCAACAUUAUACAUGCUAAUCGUAAUGCCCCCUUUAAAAGCCCUUAUAUUUUAAAUAAGCUUCUGGGGUUUUUCUCAUUUAAUAUGAUGUUAAGAUUCAUUCUUUGCCAGUGUGUACUGCAUUUGGUUUGCUUGCUGGAUAGAGUCCACUGUGUGACUCUCUUACAGUUAAUUCAUCAAUUUUCCACAUCUAAAGAAGAUGUUGCACUGUUUUUCUUUUUCUUUUCUACAUAUAUGGGGAAGCAUUAACUUCUAUAUAAUACUAUUGUACACUGUAUGUCACUAUUGACUUGCCUUUUUUGUCUAACAAUAGGGAGAUUCAUAUUGGAAACAGAGAACCAUCAUUCGGUUACUCAGCAUAGUGUUCCUUCACGUGAACUGGCCAUGGGUUACUUAGCUGUUCUGACACUGAUGGACAUUUGCACCCUUUCAAAUCUCUUCAAGUUUCAAAGAAUACUGUGUGAUCGUUGUCCUUGUAGGACAUGCGUGUUUCAUGGGGUAGGUGCCAAGAAGUGGCAUGCCGAGUCAUGGGACGUGGAUCAGACUUUCUCUCUAUUCUGCUCCAUUCUCCAGGGUGGGUACACAAAUUUGCGUACCUGACGAUGACAGUAUCUUUUUGUCCACAUCCUUUCCAAUGCUCUGUAUAGCGCCUUUUGACUUCUGCCAGUUCCCUCCUUUAAUCUGUCAUGUAUUCAGUGACCCACAUAGACUUGAAUUGGUACAAUGGGUUCUUGGCAUCUGAGGGUUUAACACGUGUAGUUUGGUGCUGAUAGGGGCCACAGGAUCAAAAACACAAUAGUUAUCAUUUUAUUGAGGUGUAAUUUUUUUAUGCCAAAUGUUCUGCAUCCAUGUCACACAUGGCUUUGUUGUCUGCUUCUCUGCAUUGCUGCAGCUCUUCUGAAGGGACCUACAAUUUGCAGAUUUACGUAAGUUCAUGGCUAAUGUUACUAUACUCUGUAAUGUUGUAAUGGGACUAUGAGGUGUAUGUUUGUGGCAGAAUUUAUUUUCAUCUUUUUAUAAGCUACUACUUUUGUAUUUAAAAUUUAAACACUACAGAACACAAUGUACAAAAUAAAAGUUCUCUGUAAUUCCUCUCCCCAUCCCCAGAUAACUGCUAAUGACAACUUCAUUUAUGUUUUCUUCAGACAUUUUCCCUCCAGGAAGUACUAAAAUUUAUCCUAUUAUUAUUAUCUGCUCUAAUGUGGAAUCAUACAAGACAGACUGUUUUGUAACUACUUUAUUAUUUUCCUGGCUCCAUAAUAUUUAAUCUUGACGUGUUCGUAAUAAUUUUAACCAUUUUCCUAUUUAUUGAUAGGCCUUUAGGUCAUCCGUUGGGCUCUCUGGCCGUAGCACACAGUGCAGCAGCGAGCUUCCUGCCGCCUGCGCUGAUGCUCGCCUCAGGGGAGUAACGCUGGGAGGAGUGAGAGCUCCGUAUUUGCAAAGCAGCAGGUGUCCGCAGCCCCUCCCACCCACCGCAGCACCGCGGCUCUGCCGGCCCUGCGCUGUGUGGGUCUGGGGUUCUCAGUCCUGUGAGGUGGAUUGAGGGUUUCUGCUGCCAAAGUAGAAUAAUGCUGGCCCUCUUGACGUGCGGUGGAAUCUAGCUAAAACUGUUUACUUGCUAAAACUGCCUGUCCAUACCAGAAUUCAGUAUGAGAUGGUGUCUGACUUAUUUAGCACAAAACAAGAAUGGACCUAACCAGACUCAGAGUCUACUUCCUGGCGUUUCUCCUAAGCAGAUCUAAAGCAACUAUUCUGAGAAAGCAACUGUGACAUUUGCAAAAAGUGGCGUUUAAUUAUUUAUCUUGUUUGUUUGGUCUGUUGAAAUCUUACCUGGCUUCUGCCUGUAGGCGUUUCUAGUCCUCCGUGGAGAAGGCCCGCGUUCGCUGGGGCAGGUCGGCUCGCCCCUGCCUUUCUGCUUGCACAGCCAUGGGUGCUUUCCAUCGAAGCACAAGCUCUCUCUCCCUAAGAGGCCACCAAUGCCAGGAGCACAGCCUUAUGCUUACCUGUCUCAGCCUCUGGGGGAUUGAUGCACCCCCUUACUCGGCCGUCGAUGUGGCUGCUGUGUGACCUGCUCCCUGUGUGUCAAAGCAAGACCCAGCCUCUGCUCUGUGCUGACCCCAAGAGCAAAGGCUCUGCUGUUUUCUUCCAAUUUAUUUAACUUACAGGUAAUACCUGCACAUGUUAAACACUCAAACCCUGUAGGAGACACAGUGGUGUCUCUCUCUCUCUCUAAAAUAAAUACGUAUGUUUAUACUUACCAAUGUUUUCUUUUAUAUGUUCUGGAUUUUAUGAGUAGUUCAGAAAGGCUAAUCCAGCUCAAGGUUAUUUUGUGUUAAACCUUAUGUUUUGUACCAAUUCUUUAAAGGUUCUGUUCUUAUUUUAAUCUUAGAUGUAUCUGGACUUAAUUUUGGUAUAAUGAAUGACUUAGGAAUGGCCAGCCUCUUGUCCCUACACCAUUUACUGAUGCAUAUAUCUGUCCAUCAUUGAUCUUCAAUUAAUGUGCCAGUUCCAGUUUUAAAUACUGUAGUUCUGUGCUUUAUUACAUGGUAAAGAUAGCCCUACUUCAUUUUACUUUUCCAGAAUUUUUCUGGUUAUUUUUGCACAUCCACUUUCACAUCUCUAUGAUGUCUUCCUGCUUUUGUCUUCCUAUGCAAGAAUAAGGUACGUCCUUCCAUUUCCAUAUGUUUCAUUUGGCUUUGUAAUAUACAGAAACUGUGGCCAGCUAGGCUGGUCUUGGUCUGUCUGCAACUACUUUAUUAUUUUCAUGCUCCAAAAUAUUUAAUCUUGUGCAUGUUGUUGUAGUAAUUUUAGCCUUGUCCCUAUUGAUGUGUAUCUGGAUCUCCUGUCCCACCUCCUGGCAGCCCCCACACCCGUCAUAACGCCCACCUCCACCACAGAGCACUUUCUUUUACUUGCUGUGCCUAGUGGUUACUUAUUGCUGUCAAACUGGUAAUGUGCAGUUCAGUGAACUUUACAGAUGAAAUGCUCCUAAACACACUGUCUUACUAAAAAUGCCAAUGUAUUUAUGCAAACUCAAUGUAUAGAAUGAAAUGGGCAUGUUCUAGAAGGUCACAUUCUAGGAGAAGAGUUGGACUAGCAGGGUUUGUGUUCUGAACCUCUGCCCCUGCGUGGCGGGCUCUGUGUGCCUGGGGAGUUUGUGCACCCAUAAAGGCUAAAUGGAAUCCUCUUCUGGGGACCUGCACUAACCUCAUGCUCAACCCCUGAACCACCUUUUUCUCCUGUCCACAACCCACUGGAACUAUUUAUAAAACAUAUCUCAUGCUUUCUACCUUACCUUUCUUACUAUACAGACCAGAAUUUGCCAUUUCUUCAUUGCCUCAAGACCGUCGUGUGCACAUCGUCCUGUUCAGCACACAGUAAUUCCUUCAGGGGCUGCUGAGGUGGGGCCUGUGUGUCUCUUCAGUCUGCUCACCAGCCUGGCCCUUCUGGUGACGGGACAGCUGAGGCUUCUCAGAGUCCUCCCACCGUGCCAUACCUGGGCUGGCUGUAGGCGUCUGUAGUAGAGGCCCAACCAAAAGGGCUGGGAAGCAAGCCAGCCAAGCCAUCACCUCACUUUACUGUUACACAGAGGUCAGAGGUGGCUUGAGUCUGCUUCAGAAAUAAUGUGUAUGGGCUUGCUUCUUAACCAAACACUGUUCUGGUUUCUGAUUGGUAUUUUUUUCUGCAUGUUGAAAUAGGAUGCUUUUCUCUGUUUUCAAAGGCAUUGUUUUGCACGAAUCUGAUUAUUUCCUUGAUCUAAUUUCUUAGCAGUGACAUUACUGGCCCAGAGGGUGUGACCAGUGGGAAGGCUUUUGACUAGAUGGCCAAGCACCCUCCAUAAAGGCCGGCCUGGCUCAGCCUUCCCCAGCGAGGCAACAGCAGCGCUUCCCCACAACCUUGGCCUGACCAGUUUCGAAGGCAAAAAACAGCCUCAGUGUUUUGAUUUGCACCUUUUGAUUCUGAAGGAAACCUGUAUUUGUCAGCUGAUCUGUGUGUCUGCUUUGUGCUGUAGUUAAAUUUUCACUUCCUGAGAGCUCUUCCCUUGCCAGCCGUUACCCUUAUAUAUUAUGAAAGUCUUCCUAGUAGUGUGCCUUUUAAAUGUACAUGUUGGAUCUUGGGGGGACUUCUAAAUCUUCUAAUCAAAUAUAUCUUUUAUUGUCGUGGUGUUACUGGUGUUAUCCUGUAUUUUCCUCUGGUUCCUUUGUGAUUUCAUUUCUGACAUUCAACACUUUAUCCACCUAGAAGUUGUUUUGGUGGACAGUAUGAGGUAAGAAUCUAAUCCAGUUAUUUCAAAAUGGCUAACCAGUUUCCCCAGCAUCAUUUAUUGAGUAAAUUCCACUUUCUCUACUGAUUUGAAAUGCCACCUGUUAAUUAAGGACUGAAUACUUUAAGUCUGUUUCUGAACAUUCCAAUCUGUUCCACCAAACUGUCUUUUCUUUGCCAACCCAACCCAAUGUAAUUACGUUAGCUUUAUAAUAUCUGAUUCUACUAUAUUGUAAUACAGGCCCCAUCAUUCUUUUUUAGAGCAUUUAAAUUUUUAUUGGAAUUGCAUUACAUCUAUAAAUAUGUUAUGAUAUUGAGACUUCCUAUUGAGGAACUGUCCUCUCUGUUCAAGACUGGAUGAUGUUUCACAUUCCUCAGGAAUUUUAGACUUAAAAUUAGUUAUAGAAAUGUUACAUUAUGUAUUGUAGUUAGAUAUAUUUUUCUAUUGCAUUUCUUUAUUAUGGUAGCAUAUGGUAAGACUUGUUUUAUGUGUGUGUGUGUGUGUGUAUGUGUGUAUUUAAAUAAAUAUGCUGAGCUUGAAUUGUAGGGCCAGUUGGGAGGCAAUAUAUAGCAUCUUGGCUAAAAGGGCAGGCUUUUGAGUCAGAUGAUCCUGUUCUAAUGCAAGACCCACCUCUUAUUUAUUUUCUGUGUGAUCAUCUCCUACCUCGGUUCCCCAUCUGUAAGAAGGGAUAAUCACAUUAUCUGCUAAGAAUUGGAAUCAGUGCUUCGUAACUUUUUAUGGCUAAAUAAUACUCCACAUUCCACUGCAUGACUAUACCACCUGUUUACCCAUUCUUCAGUUGGACAUUUGGGUUGUUUCCUCUUUGUUGGCUAUAAUGAAUAAUGCGUCUGUGAGCUUUUGUUUGAACAUACGUUUUAAAUUCUUUUUGGUAUACAUCUAGGAGCAGAAUUGCUGGGUAAUAUAAUAACUGUGUUUAACUUUUUGAUGAAUAGCCAAACUGUUUUCCAGUGUAGCUGUACCAUUUUACAUUCCCACCAGAAAUUUGUGAGGAUUCCUCCAUGUUCUCAACAACACCUGUUCUUAUCUAUCUUUUUGAUUAUAGCCUUCCUAAUGGGUAUGAAUUGGUACCUCAUGGAGUCUUGGUGUGCAUUUCUCUGGCUAAGGAUGGAGGUCAAGCACCUUUUCAUGUAUUUGUUGGCUAUGUCUAUAUCUUUUUUGGAGAAGUGUCUAUGCUGGUCUUUCGUCCACUUUUUAAUUGGGGAUUUGUCUUUUUAUUAUUGAGUUUUAGAGUUUUUUUUCAUUAAAAAAUUUUUAUUUUAGGUAUAGUUGACAUAAUAUUAAUUUCAGGUGUAAAACAUAACAGUUCUUUAUAUAUUCUGUAUACUAGAUCCUUAUCGGAUGUAUGGUUUGUGCAGAUAUUUUAUCCUAUAGCUGUGGGUUGUAUUUCCACUUCAUCGUAUCUUUUGAUAUAAAAUAUAUUUAUAUUUUAAGUGACUGAAUUUAGGGAAAAAGAAAAAAGGACUGGCUGUCCUCAGGCAUGGCAAAAAACCUCAAGUUGCUGUAUGAAUGAUUAAGAUUUGGGAAGGUGGUCCCUGUGAGACCACAGUUGUCUGGAGGCAGAGAAAGAGGGCGACCCUUAACCAGGAAGUGGGCGGGGCGCGCUGCACCGGUGCGUCCGGUCGUGGGCGGUGUCAGUGGGCGUGGCCCGCUAGGUGUGGUGGGACCACCUACUGUGAGUUUGCUCAGAAGUGGUGGUUGUUUAAGUCGGUGGUAAAUACUGGAUUUAUCCAAAUGUCUUCUCUGCAUCUUUUGAGAUGAGCAUCAGGUUUUUCUCUUGUCAUCUUCUCAUGAUUUAAUUGUAUUAAUGGAGUAUGAAGCCCUCCUGUGAUCGUUGAAACAAACACUCCCCGGCCAGGAGCUUUAGUCUGUCAAGACAGAAGUGAAGCGGAAGGUCCACUGGGGCUUGGGGCGUUGUAAGGCAGGUUUUGGUAUCAAGGUAUCAGGAUAUCAGGAAAGCCAGAGACAGAGCUGAGAGCAGUGGCUAAGAGCACACCACUGAGCCGGACAACUUUGUUUCUAUUACCUGGUUUGCCACUUAAUAGCAUAUGACUUGGGCCAAAUUUCUUAAAUUCUUGAAGCCAGUUUUCCUCAGUGAUAAAUUGGGGACAAACGUAGUGUUAGAACAUAACUUGCGGUUUUCCUGAAGCUGCAACAGGUGGCAUGGUGCAGGCGGUCUGAGUGAGGGGCGCUGCUGUGCCUGCCGGUUAGGACGGAGAUAGGGCGGCCAGCCGGCCCCCGACCUCCCCUGCGCCCGCCGCAGAGCGGCGUGCCCUGCGCCACCCGGGCCACUGCCUCUUUUUGGAGGUUCAGCGGUUCUUUGAAGAUUUUUCCAUUUCUUCCUGAGUUACCGGGCUAGUCAGUAUUUCGUUGUUUAAAUAUUCAUUUGAUAUUCAGUUUUUCAAAGUUUUCUGAAAAAAAUUGCCUUUUCAUAUGUAUUAAUCUACACUAUCUUUUUACAUUUUAAUAUCCUCCUUAUGAAUAUUUUUCACUUUAUUCCUAGUUUUUCUUUAUCUUGAAUAGACUUUAAAGAAAUCUAUUUUAUUGGCCUUUUCAAAGAAACAGAUUUAGAUAUAACAAGCAGUUUAACUGCUUUCAUUUUGUAAUUUAUUAAUUUAUACUUUUAUUUCAUUAAUUCUUUCCUCCUGCUUUCCUUGGAUUCUGUGUUGUCCCUUUUUCUAGUCUUGCAUCGCAUGCUUCAUUCAUUCACGUUCUUCUCAGCUCCCCCUGCCCCACUGCCAGGACGGUGACCUCCGUGUGGAGCCUUCCCAAGGCAGGCUUCUGGUGCCACCCAGGAGGAUGGGCUGGGGCCUGCAGGCACACGGAGGCGGUCAGCGAAGGGAAACAGCAAACUGCUGUUGCCUCAUCCCCCAUUUCCAUCUCUAACGAUCCCUCCAGCAACAUCCUUGGCCGGACACUGAGCUGGUCCCACAGACACAGGCAAGCAAGCUGACUGUCCUCACCUUCAUGGUGCCCCCGUGCUCAUGGAGACAGGUCUCAGCUGGCGAUCAUACAAAUCAUGAACCGGUACAGUUGCAGUAACAGCCGCGAGGGAGAGCAGUGCAGCCCCAGAGUGAAGCCAGAAAGCCCUAGCCCUGGGCUCUCACUCAAGGCUAAGAGAAGCUGUAAGGAAGAGCAUUCCCCGCUGAGAGAAGGGCAUGAGCAAAGCCUCUGGGCUGGGACGGACCGGCUGGAGUGCAACGUGGGUCCGGGAGGCGACGGUCCAUGGGGAUUCAGGACAUGCCCGUAGGGUGCCUGAAGGCCCCCCAUCUGUAUUUGGUAAAAGAGUUUGUUGUCUUUGUUUCCUGUACGUCUCAUGGUUUCAGUUAUGAUGUAUAAUUUGGCUAUAGUUAAGAGUAUGCUUUAAAAUUUCCAAGUGUUUGAAAUGUUUAACUGUCAUAAUCAGUUUAAUGAAUGAUUGGAAGUGACCUGUACAAUUUCUGAUGUUUUGAAUCUAUGUUUCCCUUUCUUCGUUGCUUAAGGUUUGGUGUGGCAAUUUUUAUGAAUGUUCCAUGGCACUCAAGAAGGUACUCUCUCGUCUUGGGGACAUUUGGGCCCUGUCCCUCCUGUUAUUUUUUGGGCCAGUCCAGCUGCACUGUGUCCUCAUGUAACGAAGUGUGAUGCCAUUCUGCCCGGCACCUCAGCUUCUCCCCGCUGCCCUGAGCCAGUUUGCCAGCCUUGCUCCCUGUGUUCGGCUGCAGCGUUGCUGGCACACCCAAAUUCCACAAUGCCCCUCCAGUGUGGAGGGCCUGCUGCCUGGGGUUCACUGUCCGGCACUGGCCUGCGACUGCGCCCACCCCGUCCACAGUCGCUGGCUUCUCAGUUUGCAUUUGACUGAAGUAUGGUUGGGGUUAUUUUCAGUUGUUGAGUUCUGAAACUGUUUCUAUAUCUCUUCUCUGCUUUCUGCCCAAAUGCCUGUGUUUAUUUUAUGAGGUUGUGAUUGGUAGUCAUUUUUUCCACGUUAGGCUAUAUUGUGGGCAGUUAUCCAGGCUGACAUCACCUACCUGCACUGGCUGAGGCCUUCCAGGGUGUGAGCCUGUUACAGCCACCGCCAUGUGGGCUGGUUCCAGCAUUUUGUGAAUAUAAGUCACAUUGUCACAAGUAUCUUUGGGCAUAUCCCCUCUUAAGCCUCAAGGCUGCUUUUGGUUUGCGUUCCCGACUGGCCAAAGGGAUUGGCAGUUGCCCUUUCACCUUGCUCACUGCCCUGUACCCUGUCCAGAUGGUUCUAAGGGGCCAGUUUUGUACUCCUGUUUCCGCACCACGCUGCCAAUGCAAGUUUUUGGUUUUGCUCACUGCGUGUGUAGUGGUUCCUUGAAGCCACUUUCUCACCUUUAAGCCAGUGGCGCAUUUCCUAGUGUGGGCCACUCUCUGGGUUCCCCGAGGUAUAAACCUUAAAGGUCUUGUCACUAACAUACUGAAUUAACUGUUUGCUCAUCUUACAGACUAUGUUUUGACUACCCCAUCUCUGAGGCCUUCUGAGGCCGGAGCUUUGUUGCUUCGUCAGGUUGGGACUGGGAUGGCUGUGCGCAUUUCCCUCUGCUGCUGUGAUGAGUAAGUGUCUGCCCUUUGUGGUGUGCGGGGCCUGCAGCCUGAAGGGAGGCUGUGAGGGAAGAUGGGAG